GGAGAAAAGUAGGAGAGGAGGAGGGAAGGAGGAUGAUGAUGAGGAAGGGAGGAUGAUGGUGAGGCAGGAGAGGAGGACGAAGAGGACCACAAGCGGGGCCGGGCUACAGAUGCUGCGGCUGCCCGGGCAGCGCUAGCACCGAGGACCUGACAGUCGGGUGAGGGCCUGGGACAGACGCAGCAGACUGGGAUAUGCAAAGAGAGGAGUAGCCUAAUUGUCAAGUCUAGAUCUAACAAAAGCAGUGUCCCAAGAUCAUGGCAUAUUUCCCUGGAACUGGAAGGACUGAUCAAGAAACACAGCUAGACUUGUCCUUGUGUGGACGGGAGCCGGAAAGCCUUGAGAACUUAUUCCUCGACCCGGACAUGGCACAGGAGAAAAUGAAACUAGGUUUCAAGUCGCUGCCGAGUUCCACUACCGCAGACGGCAACAUUCUGAGAAGAGUCAACAGUGCCCCUUUGAUCAAUGGACUUGGUUUUAAUUCACAGGUGUUGCAAGCUGACAUGUUAAGAAUUAGGACAAACAGAACAACAUUUAGGAAUCGACGCUCUCUGUUGUUGCCACCUCCUCCCUUUCAUGGUUCCAUCAGCCGCCUUCAUCAAAUCAAACAGGAACCUCCAAACUUGAACAACAUGGAUUUGAAUGGCGUGUGAUGUGAAACCCUCCUAUACGUAUGGGUGACUUUUUGUAUCCUCGGGUUCCAGAAGGCCCACUGUGGACUUGAGGAUGUGUGGAUUUUGGUAUUGCAGUGGGGGGGUGCUGGAACCAAUUCCCCACAUAUACCAAGGGAUGACUUCUCCCUCUGAUGCCGAGCGGAAGCUGGACUGUACUGCUGCCAUCUCGGCUCACUGCAACCUCCCUGCCUGAUUCUCCUGCCUCAGCCUGCCGAGUGCCUGCGAUUGCAGGCGCGCGCAGCCACACCUGACUGGUUUUCGUAUUUUUUUGGUGGAGACGGGGUUUCGCUGUGUUGGCCGGGCUGGUCUCCAGCUCCUAACCGCAAGUGAUCUGCCAGCCUCGGCCUCCCGAGGUGCCGGGAUUGCAGACGGAGUCUGGUUCACUCAGUGCUCAAUGGUGCCCAGGCUGGAGUGCAGUGGCGUGAUCUCGGCUCGCUACAACCUCCACCUCCCAGCCGCCUGCCUUGGCCUCCCAAAGUGCCGAGAUUGCAGCCUCUGCCCGGCCGCCACCCCGUCUGGGAAGUGAGGAGCAUCUCUGCCUGGCCGCCCAUCGUCUGGGAGGUGAGGAGCCCCUCUGCCUGGCUGCCCAGUCUGGAAAGUGAGGAGCGUCUCUGCCCGGCCGCCAUCCCAUCUAGGAAGUGAGGAGCGCCUCUUCCCGGCCGCCAUCCCAUCUAGGAAGUGAGGAGCGUCUCUGCCCCGCUGCCCCGUCUGGGAUGUGAGGAGCGCCUCUGCCCGGCCGCGACCCCGUCUGGGAGGUGAGGAGCAUCUCUGCCCGGCCGCCCCGUCUGAGAAGUGAGGAGACCCUCCGCCUGGCAACCGCCCCGUCUGAGAAGUGAGGAGCCCCUCCGCCCAGCAGCCGCCCCGUCUGAGAAGUGAGGAGCCCCUCCGCCCGGCAGCCACACCGUCUGGGAAGUGAGGAGCGUCUCUGCCCGGCAGCCACCCCGUCCGGGAGGGAGGUGGGGGUCAGCCCCCGCCAGGCCAGCCGCCCCAUCCGGGAGGUGAGGGGUGCCUCUGCCCAGCCGCCCCUACUGGGAAGUGAGGAGCCCCUCUGCCCGGCCAUCCGCCCCAUCCAGGAGGGAGGUGGGGGGGUCAGUCCCCCGCCCGGCCAGCCGCCCCGUCCGGGAGGGAGGUGGGGGGGUCAGCCCCCCGCCCGGCCAGCCGCCUCGUCCGGGAGGUGAGGGGCGCCUCUGCCCGGCCGCCCCUACUGGGAAGUGAGGAGCCCCUCUGCCCGGCCAGCCGCCCCGUCUGGGAGGUGUACCCAACAGCUCAUUGAGAACGGGCCAUGAUGACAAUGGCGGUUUUGUGGAAUAGAAAGGGGGGAAAGGUGGGGAAAAGAUUGAGAAAUCGGAUGGUUGCCGUGUCUGUGUAGAAAGAAGUAGACAUGGGAGACUUUUCAUUUUGUUCUGUACUAAGAAUUCUUCUGCCUUGGGAUCCUGUAGAUCUGUGACCUUACCCCCAACCCUGUGCUCUCUGAAACAUGUGCUGUGUCCACUCAGGGUUAAAUGGAUUAAGGGCGGUGCAAGAUGUGCUUUGUUAAACAGAUGCUUGAAGGCAGCGUGCUCGUUAAGAGUCAUCACCACUCCCUAUUCUCAAGUACCCAGGGACACAAACACUGCGGAAGGCCGCAGGGUCCUCUGCCUAGGAAAACCAGAGACCUUUGUUCACUUGUUUAUCUGCUGACCUUCCCUCCACUAUUGUCCUGAGACCCUGCCAAAUCCCCCUCUGCGAGAAACACGCAAGAAUGAUCAAUAAAAAAAAAAACAAAAAACAAAAACAAAACAAAAAAAACAUCAUUUUCACUUUCUUCCCCCCAUACAAAAUGUCACAAUGGCUUCCCAUUACCUAUUGAAUAAUAAUAAAAAUAGCUAAUAUGUGUUAAGCACUGAA